CUCAGAGCAAAGGUGAUGCUCCAGGACCUGCAGCAUCCUUCCCAUGCAGCACUCAGAGCACAGUGGGCCGCUGGUCAGGUUCAGUCAGUGAGCUUGCCUUUGGAAAGUACCCCAGGACAGAGCCAGAAGCUCUGGCAGAAGCCCUCUCCAUGCCAUGUGCCCUACUCAGGGAGCUGCAGAAGGAGACAGAGGUACCGGAGAUGAUGCACUGUCCCAUGCAGGAUGCACUGCCCUGAGCCACCCCAGGAUUUGGCGCGCUCCAGCUCUUCCCAGCACAUAUCACCUCUUCCAAGCUGUCCAUUGUGGUGCAGGAAGCAGUCCUUCAGAGACGGCAGAAAUACAAGAUAUGGGCUCGGAUCAGACCUAGGAGCCACAGAAGGGCUGGAGGUGCUGGUUGUCCUGCAGCCACCAGUGCAUUCCCUGGCACCAGAAAAAGGCUAAGUUCAGCCUAUAAGCUGUAGAAAAACAAUUCUGGAGCUUGGGAGCUGCUGCUUCACCUCUGCAGUUCAAGAGUGCUGUUCCCAUCUUCUGAGCAGAUGGAGCCAAAUCACGCCUGGUUUGUCCUUCAGUUUCCAAAGCUGUGGCUGUCACAGCCUUCUAUGCUGUUGCAGUGUUAUCUAAAACAAGGGCCAUGUCCAAAUGAUACGUGUUAUCCUGCAGAGCUGAGUUAGGCUAUUUCCAGUGCGUCAUUCAUGGUGAUUUUGUUUCCUCUUAACUUUUAAUUUCUUCAUCAACACAUGCAGAGAAAUAGUUUAAAAUUGCUCUAAUCCCAAUAGCAUUCAAGCUGAGUUCCUUUUGGCUUGCAAACUAAUUUUGUUUUCAUUGGAAAAAUGGAUCCUGUUUAUUUAAUUUUCCUCACUGAAAACAAAAUAUGUGGGUGGAGGAAAUGGGACAGAUUGGAAAAUACUUUGACUGAUAAAAACAAUCAUUUCAACAUUAUAGGCUUUUAUAUCUGCAACAGAAGCCAUAAGAAAGUCAUUACCAAAGAGUUACUGCAGAUAUCUGCAACUCCAAGCAUAGGUGGAAAUGCUGAUAAAGUGCUGAUACUCCAUGCUAGCUGCUGGAAGAGGGAGACUACAGGCUGGAUUUUAAUAGGCACCAGGGAAACUGCAGGUUGAUUAAAUGGAUGUGUUGAUAUACGCUCUACAGCUGGUGGGAAAACAUGCUUCACCCAAGUGCAGAAAGUUUCACCCCAAACUCCAAAGUCCUGAUCUAUUUCCUGAAAAAUACAAAUCAGAAAGAAUUUUCAACUUCAGAUUAAAAAAAAAAUAUAUAUAUAUAUACACACUUUUUGCCCCACAUAGAAGUUUUCAGUUAAAAAAAAAAAUAAUCAAUUGACUUUUUUUGUAAAAACAUUUUGGCCUUAGAUAAUGGUGGCCUUAAAUUUGAUUCCUUUGCUAUAGGUUGUGCUCAAAGGGCUGCGUCUUACGAGUGGCACCUGGGGCUGCUGCUGGGAUCUGCUGUGUGGUGCCAGCUCCCUGGCAAGGGCCUCAUCGGAGGAGGCUCAGGGAGCUUUGGCUUGGGAAGAGAUCCUGACUCUUCACGUCCGAGCUGGGAUGAGUUCCUCCUUCCUAACGACUUACCCACAUCUCAGGUUCAGGGAAUUCUUGUGUGAGUCAUAGUCUGCCGAAGAGUUUUUCCUUCUCUCCCCAGAUACUAAUAUUUUGAACAAGUCUCACUCUUUAUUAUCAUGGAGAUAUAAGGGAAAUAUCCCACAAGGACAGGGGUAGGUCUGAACUGCAUGUCAGAAACUUUGCUGUUAAGAUUACAUGUGAUGUGUGACCAGACUGUUUGGAUCUGUGGUCGGGCCCCAGAAGAUGUGUGUGGUGACUGACCACAUCCCCUCCGGAAGGGGAAUGUUUGAGUUCAUUGUGUCGGUGAAAUGCCGGGGUUUGA